rnacentral:rRNA from 2 species
AGUGGGGAAUAUUGCACAAUGGGGGAAACCCUGAUGCAGCCAUGCCGCGUGUGUGAAGAAGGCCUUCGGGUUGUAAAGCACUUUCAGCGAGGAGGAAAGGUUGGUAGCUAAUAACUGCCAGCUGUGACGUUACUCGCAGAAGAAGCACCGGCUAACUCCGUGCCAGCAGCCGCGGUAAUACGGAGGGUGCAAGCGUUAAUCGGAAUUACUGGGCGUAAAGCGCACGCAGGCGGUUGGAUAAGUUAGAUGUGAAAGCCCCGGGCUCAACCUGGGAAUUGCAUUUAAAACUGUCCAGCUAGAGUCUUGUAGAGGGGGGUAGAAUUCCAGGUGUAGCGGUGAAAUGCGUAGAGAUCUGGAGGAAUACCGGUGGCGAAGGCGGCCCCCUGGACAAAGACUGACGCUCAGGUGCGAAAGCGUGGGGAGCAAA